UGGGGAAUAUUGGACAAUGGGCGAAAGCCUGAUCCAGCCAUGCCGCGUGUGUGAAGAAGGUCUUCGGAUUGUAAAGCACUUUAAGUUGGGAGGAAGGGCAGUAAGCGAAUACCUUGCUGUUUUGACGUUACCGACAGAAUAAGCACCGGCUAACUCUGUGCCAGCAGCCGCGGUAAUACAGAGGGUGCAAGCGUUAAUCGGAAUUACUGGGCGUAAAGCGCGCGUAGGUGGUUCGUUAAGUUGAAUGUGAAAGCCCCGGGCUCAACCUAGGAACUGCAUCCAAAACUGGCGAGCUGGAGUAGGGCAGAGGGUGGUGGAAUUGCCUGUGUAGCGGUGAAAUGCGUAGAUAUAGGAAGGAACACCAGUGGCGAAGGCGAGCACCUGGGCUCAUACUGACACUGAGGUGCGAAAGCGUGGGGAGCAAACAGG
rnacentral:rRNA from 1 species